rnacentral:misc_RNA from 1 species
GAUGAAGAACGCAGCGAAAUGCGAUAAGUAGUGUGAAUUGCAGAAUUCAGUGAAUCAUCGAAUCUUUGAACGCCCAUUGCGCCCUUUGGUAUUCCUUAGGGCAUGCCUGUUCGAGCGUCAUUUAAACCUUCAAGCUAAGCUUGGUGUUGGGUGACUGUCCGCUUCACGGCGGACUCGCCUCAAAAUUAUUGGCGGCCGGUACAUUGGCUUCGAGCGCAGCAGAAACGCGAACUCGGGCCCGUCGUAUUGGCUCCCAGAAGCUAUCUUCACAAUUUUGACCUCGGAUCAGGUAGGGAUACCCGCUGAACUUAAGCAUAUCAAUAAGCGGAGGA